rnacentral:rRNA from 1 species
UUCCUACGGGACGCAGCAGUAGGGAAUUUUCGUCAAUGGGCGCAAGCCUGAACGAGCAAUGCCGCGUGAACGAGGAAGGUCUUCGGAUCGUAAAGUUCUGUUGAAGGGGAAAAAGAGCGGAGAGAGGAAAUGGUCUCCGAUUGAUAUUACCCUUCGAGGAAGUCACGGCUAACUACGUGCCAGCAGCCGCGGUAAUACGUAGGUGGCAAGCGUUGUCCGGAUUUAUUGGGCGUAAAGCGAGUGCAGGCGGGUCAAUAAGACUGAUGUGAAAGCCGUCGGCUCAACCG